UACGAAGGGGGCUAGCGUUGUUCGGAAUUACUGGGCGUAAAACGCACGUAGGCGGGUUGUUAAGUCAGGGGUGAAAUCCUGGAGCUCAACUCCAGAACUGCCUUUGAUACUGGCAACCUAGAGACUGGAAGAGGUUAGUGGAAUUCCCAGUGUAGAGGUGAAAUUCGUAGAUAUUGGGAAGAACACCAGUGGCGAAGGCGGCUAACUGGUCCAGCACUGACGCUGAGGUGCGAAAGCGUGGGGAGCAAACAGG
rnacentral:rRNA from 1 species